rnacentral:lncRNA from 1 species
CCCUACACUCUAAUACACAAAAAAUCAGCGCCGCAACAGUGCAGAACGCACCCCCCUUUUCACGAUCCCAUCUUCAUACUCUCACCCAAACGACCCCCGAAACUUUUUCUUUUUCAGUCGAAGAACAGAAGCAGCAGCGGAGACCUACACCCCUGCUCAUCGUGAAACCAGUUGCACACACACGUAGAUCAGCUUUUAAUUCAAUGCAAAGUGAAAGUUAGUCUAUGCUUUUGGUUUUGAUUUCAAAAUGCCGGAGUUGCUGUUCGAGUAAGGGUGUUGUUCCAGUUCGAAGUCGAAGUCAUCAUUCAAAGGUUGCGUUUGCGGUUCCGGUUUCAAUUUAUGGCUGUUCUUUUAUUGGAUAUUUGGAUUCCAACCUCUGUACCAACUGAUUUCUCAUGCAUUAAAUGAAAGCAAUUCCAAGAUCCUUGAGGUUUAUGGUGGCAAGGAUUCCAACAGUCAUCAUUCUUUGUUGAUUUUCCUUGCAAAUUGGUUCAAGUCUCCGUGUCCUGCUUAAGUCCGUAACUACGAUCGAUCAAUCAAGUUAGUACUUUCUUGUAGAGUUUACUUCUAAUUUGUCUUAUUCCGCCAUUUAGAUUGAAGUUCGUGAAAAACUCUUAGUUUUAGUAAAUGUCUAUUUACUUCUGUAACUAUAGCAGUGAAACACUCCAGAUUUUUGUUAGUUUAAUCUUUGUUGGACCAUCUCGGUUAGAAUAGGUUGAUCUCAGUCAAAGUCUAUGAAACAAAUUUGAUUUAUAAAU